rnacentral:rRNA from 1 species
UUACCCGGAAAGGGAUGCUAAUACCGUAUAAGCUCACGCGAGUAGGUAGGUGUGAAGUAAAAGGUUUACUGCGUUGGGGGAGGGGGCUGGCCGGCCCAUCAGGUAGUUGGUGAGGUAACGGCUCACCAAGCCGACGACGGGUAGGGGUCUGAGAGGAUCCGGCCCCCACACGUGGGACUGAGACACCGGCCCAGACCUCCGUACGGGGAGGCAGCAGUGGAGGGAUAUUGCGCAAGUGGGGAAAACCCCUGACGCAGCGACGCCGCGUGGGUGAUGAAGGCCUUCGGGUCGUAAAACCCUUUUGCCACUGACGAGGAAGGACGGUAGGUGGCGAAUAAGCCUCGGCUAACUACGUG